ACGAACAAAACUCAUUGCUGUCAUCGAAUGUCAUUCUACAGUGACAGCACUUAUUUCAUUCUACAAUUUGUUUAUCAACCUGAGUUUUUAUUAGAGUUUUGGGAAUUGUUAAGAAUAUUGUAGUGAUUAUUAAGAGUAAUAUCUUCAACAUUAGAUUUUGUCAAUAAUGUCUCGUCCAAAAAACUUUUUAGAUGCGGAUGAAAGUUUACUUGAAAAAAAUCUAAAAUUUGUCAAAAAUGAAGUUGAAGAAGAACUCAAUCAUUACUUUUCUGGCACGCAAGAUAGUGAUAGAUUAAAUGAAUCGCUAGCCCCGCCACGUGAAUAUAAAAUUGUUCAGCCAAAACCAGGCAUUUGCAUUAAAAGUUUUAAAACGAAUACAAAUGAUAAAUUUUUCAUCAAUGUUUGUCAAACUGAAGAGAUACCGCCCCCGGAGGACAUUACCGAAGAGCAAUUGGCUGAUAUUUUGCAAUCGGAAGUACCAAGUUCUUUUCGUAUUCCCAUGAGUAUUUCCGAUCCGCGUGUAACUAAGGAUAAAUCUAAUAAUUCAGUAGAUGUUUGCGAUAUUGCGAUUAAUCCUAAUUUCUUUGUCAAAAUUCAAAAAUCUUUACUAUUUAAAGACUUUUUCCUGGCGCUAAUUGCCGAAGCUCUAAACGAUAAAUAUAACAUACAAAUAAAAGUCGAGAAAUCAAUAAUACUACAAAAUAGAAAGUUUAUAGGCACACUGGUGCGCCAUCGUGUACGUAAUAAAGAUGUGAAAACCGUUUUAAGCUCAUAUAAACAACCAACAGAGGAGGACAAAAGAAAAUUGGAUGAACUUGAAAAAAGCAGUGUUGGGAAGAAUGUGCCAUUGGUACAGGAGAUUGAUAUAAAUGAGGUGAAUGUGCUAAAGCAGAAAUCAGAAGAAUUAAAGCAGAAUUCCUCCCAGAUUAAAGAGGCAAUAUCACUAGCUGGAUCCACGGUGCCGGAGUUUAAGUUACGUGCCAAACUGUCCAAAGAGAAGGUUGAAGAAAUACAGGCGGAAUUCUAUCUGCCAAAAUGUAUAUCUUCAAAUGAAAUUGCAUUGGAUAUCGGAGAAGAUCGCAUUUUGUUGGAAUCUAUGAAGCAUGGUUAUAUGUUUGAUAAGUUUGUGAAUUAUCGUUUGAAUCAAGAACGUGCUCGGGCAAUUUUCGACAAAACCAAUAAAAUGCUUCAAGUCCGUAUCCCUGUAUAUCCAGUUCAUUAAAUUAUAUGGUGGUCAUCUCUAUUUGUUCAAUUAGAGAGUUAAAAUAUUUUUAUUGUAUAAAUUACGGGCACGGAAUUUUCAAUUUGCUAAUUUUUUUUUUAAUUGCAACAAAUAAAUAAUAAACCUAUAAAUAAAUAAAGAAUAUAGUUUAACAGAAACUGUUAUUUGUAUAAAAAUCAUUUCAGAUUCAAAUAACUACUUAUCAGUUGAGUGUAAAAAUCUACAAAAACGAAAUCUGUCGAGUCGCAAAUCUCCAGUCUCUUAUCUGGAAGAGCUGUAUUUAUAUAUAUGACAAGUCUUCGUUAAUAAAAAUAUGGCAUCUCUCAUCCAAUGUCAUUGCGACAAUUUUUCUAUGCUAUACUUUACAGUAUUUUCUUUUAUGCAAUUUAUCACUUGUUCUUUCCAUUCUUAAAUAAACUUUUUUCAAUCAUCUCAAAAGUCUGAAUAAAUUCUUUCAGUCGUUUGAAAUGUUGCUCAAUCGUUUAGUCAAUCAAGGUAGGGUAUUUGUUGCCCCGUCUUUACGUCAUCUCAUUCGCCGGCAACAAGAAAAUGUCAUUCUGCGUUCGUUUUUGACAUUUACCUUACAACCGGCGGCUGUCAAAAGUCAUAAUUUGGUGCCUGAAUUGGAAAAUUCGAUCACAAAAUAUUGCACACGCAAAUAUUCAUCAACAAAAUUAGCUAUGGAGGAACAUUGCGUGGUCCCUGAUGUCAUUUCGUGUGUUCCACAAGAAGUAGUAACUGUUUGUUAUACAAGUGGUGCCUCUGUAGAACAAGGGAAUGUUUUAACACCAACUUUAGUAAAAGAUCAACCCACCAUCGCGUGGAAGGCCGAUCCAGGUGCAUUAUAUACCCUGUGCUUGACAGAUCCUGAUGCACCUAGUCGUACCGAUCCCAUAUAUCGGGAAUGGCAUCAUUGGUUGGUUGGCAACAUACCUGGAUGUGAUGUUUCCAAAGGCGAGGUCUUAUCGGCUUAUAUUGGUUCGGGUCCACCACCAAAAACUGGUUUACAUCGCUAUGUUUUCUUGGUUUACAAACAGAGCGGCAAGUUGACAUUCGAUGAAAAACGUUUACCAAAUAACAGUGGCGAUGACCGCGGGGGUUUCAAAAUCGCUGCUUUUGCUAAAAAGUAUAAUCUUGGUGAUCCGGUCGCUGGCAACUUCUAUCAAGCUGAGUUUGAUGACUAUGUACCUAUUUUAUAUAAACAACUGGGCGCAUAAACCUGUGCUACAAUAUAUACAUAGGUAUAUAUAAUAAUAUACGUAUUUGGAAACUUCGUAGUGAUUUUGUCAGAAGACAUUAAAUUGAACUAAACAUCUAAUAUAUAUGUAAUUCAUAAAAAUUUAUUUUUGUUGUAUUAAUUUAAAAUAAAUGGUUCUACGUUUGCAAUAUCCCUAA